GCUCAGGAUGAACGCUAGCUACAGGCUUAACACAUGCAAGUCGAGGGGCAGCAUCAUCAAAGCUUGCUUUGAUGGAUGGCGACCGGCGCACGGGUGAGUAACACGUAUCCAACCUGCCGACAACACUGGGAUAGCCUUUCGAAAGAAAGAUUAAUACCGGAUGGCAUAGUCUUCCCGCAUGGGAUGAUUAUUAAAGAAUUUCGGUUGUCGAUGGGGAUGCGUUCCAUUAGGCAGUUGGCGGGGUAACGGCCCACCAAACCAACGAUGGAUAGGGGUUCUGAGAGGAAGGUCCCCCACAUUGGAACUGAGACACGGUCCAAACUCCUACGGGAGGCAGCAGUGAGGAAUAUUGGUCAAUGGACGAGAGUCUGAACCAGCCAAGUAGCGUGAAGGAUGACUGCCCUAUGGGUUGUAAACUUCUUUUAUACGGGAAUAAAGUUAGCCACGUGUGGCUUUUUGUAUGUACCGUAUGAAUAAGGAUCGGCUAACUCCGUGCCAGCAGCCGCGGUAAUACGGAGGAUCCGAGCGUUAUCCGGAUUUAUUGGGUUUAAAGGGAGCGUAGGCGGGUUGUUAAGUCAGUUGUGAAAGUUUGCGGCUCAACCGUAAAAUUGCAGUUGAUACUGGCGACCUUGAGUGCAACAGAGGUAGGCGGAAUUCGUGGUGUAGCGGUGAAAUGCUUAGAUAUCACGAAGAACUCCGAUUGCGAAGGCAGCUUACUGGAUUGUAACUGACGCUGAUGCUCGAAAGUGUGGGUAUCAACAGGGAUAGAUA
rnacentral:rRNA from 1 species